rnacentral:pre_miRNA from 1 species
UCCUUCAGUGUUGAAACACUCUCUACUGAACCAGGCUGCAAACCAAGUUCACUGGGGUUUGUUUCAAUAUUGCAAGAA